GAAAGGGAGGGAGCAAGUGAGGGAAAAGAAUGGUGAGAGAAAGAGAGCAACAUCAAAAUGGGAGGGAGAGAGGAACAAGUGAGGAAGAGAGAAAAGAAGGAGAGAGAAAGGGAAGAGCUUAGAGCUGUACUGAGAGUGAAAGAAGAGACAGACCAUACAGGAAGUAAAAUGGUGAGAAAGAAGACUUUAGGAGGAUUUAAAGAAAUAUUGCUCCAGGAAUGCUAACCAAAAUCCUCCUGUUUUUCAGAAAAAAUCACAACGAGCAAACAAUGUAGCUGAAAAAGAAGACAGAUUUCGACAGAUUCUCCCACUAAACCCCUGAAGCUUGGAUACAUUAAAGUUCCUGAACCAACAGAGGAAAAGAAAUGAGAAAGAAUGAGGAAGAAGUGUGAAAACGCAUAGGUAUGGAUACUCUAAGGAGUUUGAACCUGUAGCGCAAGGAUGCUAAAGGAUGUACGAAGGUUUGCUUGGCAUACUCAUGCAAUUUCAGUUCAUUUCAAGAGACUUUAAAUGAAUGAUCUAUGCAGACAGGCAUGCUGGAAGACAACACCAUGCAGUCUGAUGCCUAAAACAGGUAAACACAUACAGAAGACAAUAUAUCAGCAUCUUUGAAAAGACCAAACUACUUACAAGAAUUGGCAAAAUCUUCAGAGUUUUCCCUUUUCCUGUUUUUAUGACAGGCUAUAAGUUUUAAGAACCUGUCAGUAGCCUGCUGAGUGGGAAAGCCUUUCCACUGUGAGCUCAGAACGAGAGAGAGAGAGAGAAGACCAACGAAGCAUUGUGGAAAAAGACACAAAGACCCAGGAGAAAGGGACAGACAUCUAGAGCUGGCUGUGGAAAGAACAAGGGAGUAAGGGGAAUGGAUGAAGGAGAGAUGGAACCUCAGGGGCUUUUUUGAAGGCUUGAAAGAAUGGAAGCAGCUCAGAAAUGAAAAAGCAGAACAGGGAGUCCAUGCAGUCUGCGUAAAAAAAAAUGUGUGCAGGUGUGGUGCCCGCUGACGGUGGAAAUCACUGAUAAUAAACAUGCUCCCCCAUGGCCUUUCUCAAGCGUGCCAGGCCAUUGAGGAGGAGCAGGACAACGACAGAGAGGAGAGGAUCUUGGCUAUCCUGGGAAUAGUUGGCACUAUUCUCAACUUGCUGGUGGUCAUCUUUGUCUACAUCUACACCACCAUCUGAAGACUGGAUCGGGACAAGGAGAUCCAUCCAGAGGUUUGCAAAUAAAGAAAGACAGACUGGAACGUUUCAGUAUGGACAGCGCAAGAUGAAUAUAAUGGACUACUUCAUUUGACAAAAAAACUGCUGUUAUAUAUCUAAAUUAUCAUUUAUACCAAGUAAAUAUAAAAUAGUAUCAAAUAUAUAAAUACUGUUAACCAUGUUCACCAUUCAUUUCAAAAUUAUCCAAGUUUGAACUAUUGUUAUUACAUUUGAACACCUUACAUACUGAGUUAUUCUGUAAAUAUUGGACCAUGGCAUGGCAUCCUAAUAUACUUCUCAUUGCAUGAUAUACUAAUAUAUUUCUUAUGCAAUUGAUUUUAACAUUUUAAAGACAUUAAGUGUUUACCAGCUUUGACAUCAACACUGUCAACACAAAGCAAUGCAGAUCAUGGAGGCAUCUGCACAGGAGGCAUCUGCAACACUUGCUGGACGUUUUAGUUUGAUCAAAUCUGGCAAAAGGAGGGAAAUUUCUCUGAAUUAUGCAAACAGGACAGCAUCCUCCGGCUCCACCUACAAUACUCUAGGAGUAAAUCUCAACAUGUUCUUUAUACUUGAUGAGCAUUUCUCAGCUGAGAAAGUUGACAAAACAUGAUUUUGAGAAUCCUAUAGAGAAGGCAGACGUGCUAAGAGGUGAACCUAGCUUCUUUGGUUUCCAAUUUAUGGUUAGUCCAAUGCCUAAGCAGGACCUGCAGCAGUGUACAUGCUUUGCAUCAUUCAAUGAGCAGAGAAGUGGAUAAUAUGGGAUGUUCUGUUUCACAUGGCUUUUCUGUAGUGCUUUCAAACCAUUAAUAAAGGGGUAGAGGUUGCACAGUAUUCGAAACACCUAAAGCAAAAUGGAUUGGAAUAAAGCUAAAAAGUGUUUCAAAAGUUUACAGGAA